GACGUAGGGCGCGAGCGUUUGUCCGGAUUUAUUGGGCGUAAAGAGCUCGUAGGCGGCUUGUCGCGUCGUCUGUGAAAUCCCGCGGCUCAACCGCGGGUCUGCAGUCGAUACGGGCAGGCUAGAGUUCGGUAGGGGAGACUGGAAUUCCUGGUGUAGCGGUGAAAUGCGCAGAUAUCAGGAGGAACACCGGUGGCGAAGGCGGGUCUCUGGGCAGUAACUGACGCUGAGGAGCGAAAGCGUGGGGAGCGAACAGG
rnacentral:rRNA from 1 species